rnacentral:rRNA from 1 species
CCUACGGGUGGCAGCAGUGGGGAAUAUUGGACAAUGGGGGAACCCUGAUCCAGCCAUGCCGCGUGUGUGAAGAAGGCCCUCGGGUUGUAAAGCACUUUCAGUGAGGAAGAACGCCUGGUGGUUAAUACCCAUCAGGAAAGACAUCACUCACAGAAGAAGCACCGGCUAACUCCGUGCCAGCAGCCGCGGUAAUACGGAGGGUGCGAGCGUUAAUCGGAAUUACUGGGCGUAAAGCGCGCGUAGGUGGCUUGAUAAGCCGGUUGUGAAAGCCCCGGGCUCAACCUGGGAACGGCAUCCGGAACUGUCAAGCUAGAGUGCAGGAGAGGAAGGUAGAAUUCCCGGUGUAGCGGUGAAAUGCGUAGAGAUCGGGAGGAAUACCAGUGGCGAAGGCGGCCUUCUGGACUGACACUGACACUGAGGUGCGAAAGCGUGGGUAGCAAACAGGAUUAGAUACCCUUGUAGUC